ensembl:snoRNA small nucleolar RNA snR60/Z15/Z230/Z193/J17
UUGAUGCAAUGAUGAGCUCAUAGUUCAGCAGAUUAUUGAUGAAGACCAUCUAUUGUCUUUCGCACCUAUCUGAUGUAUCUA